rnacentral:tRNA from 1 species
GGCUCGUUGGUCUAGGGGUAUGAUUCCUGCUUUGGGUGGAGGAGGUCCCGGGUUCAAAUCCCGGACGAGCCC